rnacentral:rRNA from 1 species
AAUGGGCGAAAGCCUGAUGCAGCAACGCCGCGUGAAGGAUGAAGGGUUUCGGCUCGUAAACUUCUAUCAAUAGGGACGAAAAAAAUGACGGUACCUAAAUAAGAAGCCCCGGCUAACUACGUGCCAGCAGCCGCGGUAAUACGUAGGGGGCAAGCGUUAUCCGGAAUUACUGGGUGUAAAGGGAGAGUAGGCGGCAUGGUAAGCCAGAUGUGAAAGCCUUGGGCUUAACCCGAGGAUUGCAUUUGGAACUAUCAAGCUAGAGUACAGGAGAGGUAAGUGGAAUUCCUAGUGUAGCGGUGAAAUGCGUAGAUAUUAGGAAGAACACCAGUGGCGAAGGCGACUUACUGGACUGAAACUGACGCUGAGGCUCGAAAGCGUGGGGAGCGAA